rnacentral:rRNA from 1 species
AAUGAACGCUGGUGGCAGGCCUAACACAUGCAAGUCGAACGAGUGGCGGACGGGUGAGUAAUGUCUGGGAAACUGCCCGAUGGAGGGGGAUAACUACGGGAAACGGUAGCUAAUACCGCAUACCAUCGGAUGUGCCCAGAUGGGAUGGCUAGUAGGUGGGGUAACGGCUCAACUAGGCGACGAUCCCUAGCUGGUCUGAGAGGAUGACCAGCCACACUGGAACUGAGACACGGUCCAGACUCCUACGGUAGGCAGCAGUGGGGAAUAUUGCACAAUGGGCGCAAGCCUGAUGCAGCCAUGCCGCGUGUAUGAAGAAGGCCUUCGGUUUGUAAAGUACUUUCAGCGAGGAGGCGUUACUCGCAGAAGAAGCACCGGCUAACUCCGUGCCAGCAGCCGCGGUAAUUC